AUGGACAACUCUUCAGAUGCUCACAGCCGUCACAGGUGCGCGGCGUGCUACCGUCAGUUCAACCGGAUGGAGCACCUGGUGGAGCACAUGCGGUCGUCGCACCACUCCCACCACGAGCCCCGCUGCGGCGUCUGUGGCAAGCACUGCCGCUCCAUCGACGCGCUCCGCGACCACCUCGGCUUCGGCGCCUCCCUGCCCUCCAAGCCCGCCUGCGCCACCGCCUUCCAAGCCCACGGCUGCCCGCUCUGCCUCGCCGUCUUCCCCACCGCCAGCGCCCUCCGCGCUCACUGCGCCGCAUGCAAGCUCUCCCGCGCUCCGAUCCCCUCAUCCGUCCAGAGCCUCACGAGGACUAUGUCGAGGAUGGGCGCGCGAGGCGGUCGCGGCGCGGUGGCGCUGGGGUGCAAGAUGGUCGGUGGCGGGAGCGACGGCACUCUCGACGUGCGCGCGCGCGUCUGCGUCGUCGAUGAGCACGAGUCCAUCCUCUACGAGAGCUUCGUGAAGCCGCUCAUCCCGGUGACGCACUACCGGUACGAGAGCACGGGCAUCCGCCCCGAGCACCUCCGCGACGCGCCCACCGUGAAGCAGGCGAUGCGGCGGGUGCAGGACAUCCUCCUCAACGGCGAGCAGUCCUACUCCUACUCCUACUCCUCCCGCGGCGCCGCCCGGCUCCUCGUCGGCCACGGGCUGGAGCACGACCUCGACGCGCUCGGCAUGGACUACCCGGCGCACCUGAAGAGGGACACGGCGGUCUACCCGCCGCUGAUGAAGACCAGCGCCAGGCUCAUGAGCAACUCGCUCCGGUAUCUCACGCGGAGCUGCCUGGGCUAUGACAUACAGACCGGCGGCCACCAUCACCCCUACGAUGACUGCGUGGCCGCCAUGCGCCUGUACAAGAGCAUGCGCGCCAUGAGGGAUCAGCACGGCCGGCCCAAGGACGAUGAUGAUGAGUCCACAGCCAAGGCCUUCCCGGCGUGGAGGCAGCGGGAGCUGGAGCGCAUGUCGCCGGAGGAGCUCCUCGCGAUGUCCAGGCCCGACUACCGAUGUUGGUGCCUUGACGACGACCGGCGAUGCUGA
rnacentral:rRNA from 1 species